rnacentral:rRNA from 1 species
AACGAACGCUGGCGGCAGGCCUAACACAUGCAAGUCGAGCGAAGCCUUCGGGCUUAGCGGCGGACGGGUGAGUAACGCGUGGGAACGUGCCCUUUGCUACGGAAUAGCCCCGGGAAACUGGGAGUAAUACCGUAUGUGCCCUUCGGGGGAAAGAUUUAUCGGCAAAGGAUCGGCCCGCGUUGGAUUAGGUAGUUGGUGGGGUAAUGGCCUACCAAGCCGACGAUCCAUAGCUGGUUUGAGAGGAUGAUCAGCCACACUGGGACUGAGACACGGCCCAGACUCCUACGGGAGGCAGCAGUGGGGAAUCUUAGACAAUGGGCGGAAGCCUGAUCUAGCCAUGCCGCGUGAUCGAUGAAGGCCUUAGGGUUGAAAAGAUCUUUCAGGUGGGAAGAUAAUGACUGUACCACCAGAAGAAGCCCCGGCUAACUCCGUGCCAGCCGCCGCAGUAACAC